UUUUAACAGCAACGAAGAAAUCUGAGACACAUACCAUCUCUAUACAUUCCACUUGGGAAGGACUUUUCAUAAAUUACCAUGGUGGGUAAGACACGUCCAUCUGCAGAGACACAUACAUUUGCUGUUGUGUGGUUUGAGGUGACAACUACUCGAGAUUGUGCCUGUCUCCUGUCAGCUACACAGACCUUGUCUAGGGACAUACCCUUCCCAAAGCCUGUCUCGUCCACAUUGAAUAUGCACUCUGGCUUAUUUCCGAGACCUUGAAAUGGAUUGAUUGACAAACAUUAAUAUAAUAGCUUGAAGUGCUGUGCCAUGACUGUCUCAUUUGACAUUCUUGUCCUUCCACCAUCGACUAGUUGGGGACUCUUCAUCGAUAGUCUUGGAUGCCGUGAUAGAAAAGACCUAAACCAUUUAUUGGACGGACCGUUUCCUGAUCCUGACAGUUGUCUGCCGCUUUUGGACACAAUACCUCUGACAAAUGAUUUUAUUACUUUCCGUGUUAAAGGCAUAGCUCUGGCCUGACAGUAUACUAUAUAUGCCACUAAUUGCUCCUCCUCUACUUUGCUUAACACCCGGACUGGAUGGCCUUUCAAUAAUCCUUUUUGAUGACGGGAUAUGGUCAUGCGAUUUAUUUUAUGUAGCUUCUCAAGACUUCUAAUUGACUUCCCAGGCUUUGCAUCUUCAAUAGCUUGUUUCAUUUGAUCCGGUGUGUAUUUCUUAUAUUUUCCUGUUGAACAACAUGUGUUUGCUAAUAAUUAUUCAAAUAAAAUUUUAACUGUA